rnacentral:rRNA from 1 species
UACGGAGGAUGCGAGCGUUAUCCGGAUUUAUUGGGUUUAAAGGGUGCGUAGGCGGGCUUUUAAGUCAGCGGUAAAAAUUCGGGGCUCAACCCCGUCCGGCCGUUGAAACUGGGGGCCUUGAGUGGGCGAGAAGAAGGCGGAAUGCGUGGUGUAGCGGUGAAAUGCAUAGAUAUCACGCAGAACCCCGAUUGCGAAGGCAGCCUUCCGGCGCCCUACUGACGCAGAGGCACGAAAGUGCGGGGAUCGAACAGG